AGUAACGCGUGAGGAACCUGCCUCAAAGAGGGGGACAACAGUUGGAAACGACUGCUAAUACCGCAUAAGCCCACGGCUCGGCAUCGAGCAGAGGGAAAAGGAGCAAUCCGCUUUGAGAUGGCCUCACGUCCGAUUAGCUGGUUGGUGAGGUAAUGGCCCACCAAGGCGACGAUCGGUAGCCGGACUGAGAGGUUGAACGGCCACAUUGGGACUGAGACACGGCCCAG
rnacentral:rRNA from 1 species